UAAGCAUCGGCUAACUCUGUCCCAGCAGCCGCGGUAAUACGGAGGAUCCGAGCGUUAUCCGGAAUUAUUGGGUUUAAAGGGUGCGUAGGCGGCCAUUUAAGUCAGCGGUGAAAUUUUGCAGCUUAACUGUAACAGUGCCGUUGAUACUGUUUGGCUAGGAUUUGGUUGUAGUGUGCGGAAUGUGUGGUGUAGCGGUGAAAUGCUUAGAUAUCACACAGAACACCGAUUGCGAAGGCAGCACACUAAGUCAUUAUUGACGCUGAGGCACGAAAGUGUGGGCAUCAAAGGAGCAUUAGAUACCCUGGUAGUUCACCCCGUUAAACGAUGAUAAACUCGCCUGUCGGCGAUACACAGUCGGUGGCCAAGCGAAAGCAUUAAGUUAUCCCCCUGGGGAGUACGACCGCAAGGUUGAAACUCAAAGGAAUUGACGGGGGCCCGCACAAGCGGAGGAACAUGUGGUUUAAUUCGAUGAUACGCGAGGAACCUUACCCGGGCUCGAACGGUGCAUGAAUAUACGAGAGAUUGUAUAGUCCUUCGGGACAUGUAUCGAGGUGCUGCAUGGUUGUCGUCAGCUCGUGCCGUGAGGUGUCGGCUUAAGUGCCAUAACGAGCGCAACCCUUGUCAUUAGUUGCCAUCAGGUCAAGCUGGGGACUUUAAUGAGACUGCCACCGUAAGGUGUGAGGAAGGGGGGGAGGACGUCAAAUCAGCACGGCCCUUAUGUCCGGGGCGACACACGUGUUACAAUGGGAGGUACAGAGGGCAGCUAUCCGGUGACGGAAUGCUAAUCUCCAAAACCUUUCUCAGUUCGGAUUGGAGUCUGCAACUCGACUCCAUGAAGGUGGGUUCGC
rnacentral:rRNA from 1 species